rnacentral:tRNA from 1 species
GCCAUAAUAGCUUACAUUUAGAGCAUAGCACUGAAGAUGCUGGGGUAGCAAUUAUGCUUUAAGGCA